UGCAAGUCGAGCGGCAGCGGGAAAGUAGCUUGCUACUUUUGCCGGCGAGCGGCGGACGGGUGAGUAAUGCCUGGGAAAUUGCCCAGUCGAGGGGGAUAACAGUUGGAAACGACUGCUAAUACCGCAUACGCCCUACGGGGGAAAGCAGGGGACCUUCGGGCCUUGCGCGAUUGGAUAUGCCCAGGUGGGAUUAGCUAGUUGGUGAGGUAAUGGCUCACCAAGGCGACGAUCCCUAGCUGGUCUGAGAGGAUGAUCAGCCACACUGGAACUGAGACACGGUCCAGACUCCUACGGGAGGCAGCAGUGGGGAAUAUUGCACAAUGGGGGAAACCCUGAUGCAGCCAUGCCGCGUGUGUGAAGAAGGCCUUCGGGUUGUAAAGCACUUUCAGCGAGGAGGAAAGGUCAGUAGCUAAUAUCUGCUGACUGUGACGUUACUCGCAGAAGAAGCACCGGCUAACUCCGUGCCAGCAGCCGGGUAAAUAAAGCGGGC
rnacentral:rRNA from 1 species